GGAGGGUGCAAGCGUUACUCGGAAUCACUGGGCGUAAAGGACGCGUAGGCGGGAUGCCAAGUCUGAUGUGAAAUCCUAUGGCUCAACCAUAGAACUGCAUUGGAAACUGGUAACCUAGAGUAUGGGAGGGGGAGAUGGAAUUAGUGGUGUAGGGGUAAAAUCCGUAGAUAUCACUAGGAAUACCGAAAGCGAAGGCGAUCUCCUGGAACAAUACUGACGCUAAGGCGUGAAAGCGUGGGGAGCAAACGGGAUUAGAUACCCCGGUAGUCCACGCCCUAAACGAUGAACACUAGUCGUCGGAAUGCUAGUCAUUUCGGUGAUGCACUUAACAGAUUAAGUGUUCCGCCUGGGGAGUACGGUCGCAAGAUUAAAACUCAAAGGAAUAGACGGGGACCCGCACAAGUGGUGGAGCAUGUGGUUUAAUUCGAAGAUACGCGAAGAACCUUACCUAGCCUUGACAUUGAUUGAACUCAGUAGAGAUACAGAGGUGCCCUUCGGGGAACAUGAAAACAGGUGCUGCACGGCUGUCGUCAGCUCGUGUCGUGAGAUGUUGGGUUAAGUCCCGCAACGAGCGCAACCCUCGUCUUUAGUUGCCAGCAGGUUAAGCUGGGCACUCUAAAGAGACUGCCUUCGCAAGGAGGAGGAAGGUGAGGACGACGUCAAGUCAUCAUGGCCCUUAUGGCUAGGGCUACACACGUGCUACAAUGGGGCGUACAGAGUGUUGCGAUACCGCGAGGUGGAGCUAAUCACUUAAAGCGUCUCUCAGUUCGGAUUGGAGUCUGCAACUCGACUCCAUGAAGCUGGAAUCACUAGUAAUCGUAGAUCAGCAAUGCUACGGUGAAUACGUUCCCGGGUCUU
rnacentral:rRNA from 1 species